GCACGAUCGCAGCUCACUGCACCUUCUGCCUCUCAGGUUCAAGCGAUUCUCAUGCCUCAGCUUCCCGAGUAGCAGGGAUUACAGGCUGGAGUGCAAUGGCACGAUCUCGGCUCACUGCGACCGCCGCCUCCCAGGUUCAAGCAAUUCUCCUGCCUCGGCCUCCCUACUAGCUGAGAUUACAGCAAGACAUGGGAUCCAUCUGGUGUUUG